GUGCCAGCAGCCGCGGUAAUACAGAGGAGCCAAGCGUUGUCCGGAUUGACUGGGCGUAAAGCGCACGCAGGCGGCCUAGUGCGUGGGGUGUGAAAUCUGGCCGCUUAACGGCCAGGCGCCAUCCCAUACGGCUAAGCUGGAGGGCUGCAGAGGUCGAUGGAAUUGCCGGUGUAGUGGUGAAAUGCGUAGAGAUCGGCAGGAACACCCAGGGGGAAACCAGUCGACUGGGCAGCACCUGACGCUGAGGUGCGAGAGCGUGGGGAGCGAACCGGAUUAGAUACCCGGGUAGUCC
rnacentral:rRNA from 1 species